GGAGCUCCCCCGUGCUCAUAUGCACCACGCUGGAUCGAUGCCCCGCCCUGCAUCGCUGUGGUGUGGUCGCCAUCGCCGCGCCCGUGCCACAAUCCUCCUCUGCUCCUCCAUUGGCGUCGAUCUGGAUAUCUCUAGAGCAUCCCCGAGCCCUCCCCUGGCCUAUGUAAGGCAAGCGCGAGGUCCCACCGGAGCGAUCACAUCUCGCCGUUCCCUCCUCCGUCCGCCAUGGCCGCGUCGGCCUCGUCUCUUCCGGCCACCACGAGCGCUCUCUCCUCCUCCCGAGGCCUCCACCCUCUCCCCCUCGUUCCGCUGAGUCGCCCACCCCCUUUGCCCCUCGCCGGAGUACCCCAGGGCCGCUGCCCUCUUCUUCAACCGCCGCUGGAGCUCCUCUCCGUUCUCCUCCCGUCGUCGCGGCCCUAGUCCUCCCCGGCGCCUCCUCUUCUCGGGGAUGGAGGCGGCAGGCUACGCCGCGCUCGCCGGGGGUCGCGCCUCGGCCGGAGGUGGCCAGAGGUAGCUAGGCUCGCCGGCGCCCCUCCUCUGUUCCUCCCGCGCCCCUGCUCUGCUCUGAUCGAUGGGAGGAAGAAGACAGGCGCGUGGGGAGAGAGAGGAGAAGGGUGGGCCCCCGUGUCAGCUGCACAAGCCGGGCCCCACCACCAGCACUUCACGAAAACGUGUUAUGUCGAAGGCGCUUUCUGUUUCAGCCGCCAGGGACCCGUUAGUGAUAAAAAUAUUCACAGAUUGGUCCCUGAUCUUCUACACCUCAUAACUCCGCAACCGUAACUCCGAUUGAGCCCCCUCCGAGAGAGAACCGUCCGGCGUUUCAUUCUACGGCUUCACCACACUUCUUCUCGGAGUCUCUGUCACCCCCAGGCAAGUCACAACAGCCACUUGCAUGAUAGCCAUGCAGUAGCCAUGCUUUCCACUUGAAUAUUUAAUAAAAGCUUGCCCAUUAUCUGCAUGCUUGUUUGCUACUACUGUCGUUGUUGCGGUUAUGCUCGUGAUUUCAUGUUCACCUUCAUGAUAUGCUCCGAUGCAUCUUGUUAUCUUGUAUUACUUGCUAGUAUCAUGUUCACAUGUCAUGCUUAGUAGUAGUAGUAGUAGUACAUUCUGGUAAUAGUGAUGUUCAGUCUGAUGCAUGCUUACCGUUUGUUAUCAGUAUUGUUGCUAUGCAUGUUCCUUUGCACCCAGUUGGUUGCAUGCUUACCUGGUAGUAUUCUUGUUAUAUUCUUGCAUGGUAUUUCUUUAUGAUGCUAGUGUUCAUGAUAUGCUCAUGUGUAGUGUUAUGAUCAUGCUCGUCAGUAUGCCAUGCUUAGUUGGAUAUAUGAUUCAUUGUUGUUAUGCUCGAUGAUUGUGUUGCACCUCCAUCUUUAUGUUGAUAUCAUGCUCAUGCAUUGUAGUUGCAUCAUGUUAUUUUAAUAUGGCUCAACUCAUUGCAUUCAAGUUUAACCAGAUAAUUAUGAACUUGAACAACUGUUGGCCGAGUCAUGGUGCCACCAGAUCGAGCUGACCAGUGCAACCACAUUUGCCUUUUAUGGGAAGGCCCUAGUGCGGUCUGUUGCCAUGCCUCCCGUCGGUGCCUCCAACGAGGGAAGGUUAUGGGCGCGCACUACCCUGAUCAGGUAGGCGGACAUAAACCUUAUGUGCCCGAGUUGUUUGCGCGCUUUGUCCCCGUUUGGGACCGUUUAUGUUUUGCCACGACGGUGGCCGUUGGAUGUCUUUGGUAGACAUCGGGGCCACCCAUGACUUAGCCCAAGAGGGGAGUUGGUCGGAGUGGUCGGGAGAAUGUCAUGGUAGUAGAUUGGUUUUGUUGGAACGUCGUUGGUCCACACGUAUGGGAGUGCGAGGCCAUGGGUUCCGUGGUGUGGGUAUAGUGUGCUAAUAACCUCUGUAGAGUGUGUGUUAAAUCUAUCGAUAGCCAUGCCCGCGGAUAUGAGCCCAGUUCGUAGUUGGUCACACUAUGAGCCAACAAUAAUAAUAACUUGAUUAAUAAUAACCCCGAUUCAAUGAUGAGAAAGAGAUUGGUCGUGAUCGAGAGAGGAUCACGAAGGUAUCAUGGAUACCAAAGUUGGUUGAUCUUUAUGUGAUCGCGAGAUGAUCACGACGGUAUGAUACGUCUCCGUCGUAUCUAUAAUUUUUUAUUGU